GAUGAACGCUAGCGGCAGGCCUAAUACAUGCAAGUCGAGGGAGAAUGUUGGAUUCGUCUGACAUGGAACCGGCGCACGGGUGCGUAACACGUAUGCAACCUACCUUUAACUGGGGUAUAGCUCAGAGAAAUCUGAAUCAAUCCCCCAUAAGACUACGACAUGGCAUCAUGAUGUAGUUAAAGCUCCGGCGGUUAAGGAUGGGCAUGCGGUACAUUAGCUAGUUGGUGAGGUAAUGGCUCACCAAGGCUACGAUGUAUAGGGGGUCUGAGAGGAUGAUCCCCCACACUGGUACUGAGACACGGACCAGACUCCUACGGGAGGCAGCAGUAGGGAAUAUUGGUCAAUGGACGCAAGUCUGAACCAGCCAUGCCGCGUGAAGGAUGAAGGCCCUAUGGGUCGUAAACUUCUUUUAUUAGGGAAGAAAAAACGGGAUGCGUCCUGUACUGACGGUACUUAAUGAAUAAGGAUCGGCUAACUUCGUGCCAGCAGCCGCAGUAA
rnacentral:rRNA from 1 species